rnacentral:rRNA from 1 species
UACGUAGGGUGCAAGCGUUAAUCGGAAUUACUGGGCGUAAAGCGUGCGCAGGCGGUUAUGUAAGACAGGCGUGAAAUCCCCGGGCUUAACCUGGGAACUGCAUUUGUGACUGCAUGGCUAGAGUGCGGCAGAGGGGGAUGGAAUUCCGCGUGUAGCAGUGAAAUGCGUAGAUAUGCGGAGGAACACCGAUGGCGAAGGCAAUCCCCUGGGCCUGCACUGACGCUCAUGCACGAAAGCGUGGGGAGCAAACAGG